GACGAACGCUGGCGGCGCGCCUAACACAUGCAAGUCGAACGGAGUCACGAGGAGCUUGCUUUUCUUGACUUAGUGGCGAACGGGUGAGUAACGCGUGAGUAACCUGCCCUGGAGUGGGGGACAACAGUUGGAAACGACUGCUAAUACCGCAUAAGCCCACGGAUCCGCAUGGAUCUGCGGGAAAAGGAUUUAUUCGCUUCAGGAUGGACUCGCGUCCAAUUAGCUAGUUGGUGAGGUAACGGCCCACCAAGGCGACGAUUGGUAGCCGGACUGAGAGGUUGAACGGCCACAUUGGGACUGAGACACGGCCCAGACUCCUACGGGAGGAAGAAGUGGGGGAUAUUGCACAAUGGGGGAAACCCUGAUGCAGCGACGCCGCGUGGAGGAAGAAGGUUUUCGGAUUGUAAACUCCUGUCGUUAGGGACGAUAAUGACGGUACCUAACAAGAAAGCACCGGCUAACUACGUG
rnacentral:rRNA from 1 species